rnacentral:lncRNA from 1 species
GGGAUGGAUGGAUGGAUAAAUGGAUGCUGGAAGAGCAGAUAUUUUUGCAAAGCCUCAACCAGAUUUUAAGAGGAUCAAAAAGAGGAUAACUGACUGAGAACAGAAAGGAUAUGCACGUGGAAUGUCUGGGCUUUUGUGGAUGAAGAAAUGAUAAGGAGACGUACGUGCAGCAGCACUUCUCGGUUGAAUGUGUUACUGCUUGGACUGGUGCAUGUAGCUAGCUGAUUGGCAAGGAUAGGAUGCGGCAGGAAGUUUUCUUCUGCCUACCCAGGAUACGAUUCAUCAACUCCCCCGCCGCCCCAACCGCAAUGGCAUUCGUAUGAGGCACAGCGAAUGAAUGCCCACCC